rnacentral:rRNA from 1 species
UACGUAGGGUGCAAGCGUUGCUCGGAAUCAUUGGGCGUAAAGAGCGUGUAGGUGGCUAGAUAAGUCGGAUGUGAAAUCCCUCGGCUCAACCGAGGAAGGGCAUUCGAAACUAUCUAGCUCGAGGAUGGCAGAGGAAGGUGGAAUUCCUAGUGCAGAGGUGAAAUUCGUAGAUAUUAGGAGGAAUACCGGUGGCGAAGGCGGCCUUCUGGACCAUUCCUGACACUGAGACGCGAAAGCGUGGGUAGCAAACAGG